rnacentral:piRNA from 1 species
UAGGGGGCACUCUCAACCAGAUGC